ACAAGCGUGAGAAACGGCUAGUAGGACUAAGGUCUGCAGCAGGCGCGAAACUUACACAAUGCUAGAUUACGACAUAGCGAUGUAGUGAAGAAAAAUAACGAUGUACUUACAUUUAAACAUGUUAGUACAAUUGGAAUGAGACGACUCUAAACCAGUCAGUCGAGUAACAAAUGGAGGGCAAGUCUGGUGCCAGCAGCCGCGGUAAUUCCAGCUCCAUUAGCAUACAUUAAAGUUGUUGCGGUUAAAAAGCUCGUAGUUGAAUUUCGGGCGGGCUCUAUUGGGAUGCAAUCGUUAAGGCCUCUAAUGUUGGUUCGCCCAUAUUAGUUGGCUGGUUGUAUUUUCCCUAUAGGAACCCGUUGUUUCGUCACUUAAUCGAGUGCGAAGCGGGCUGGUACUUUAGUUAACUUCGGUUAUUAAGUAACAGCAUGUUUACCUUGAGAAAAUUAGAGUGCUCACAGCAGGCAGUUGGGGUGUAAAAGCUCCUUUAUGCUUGAAUAAUGUUGCAUGGAAUAAUAGAAUACGGCCUCGGUUCUAUUCUGUUGGUCUUAUAGAACAACAAAAAAGUUGAUUAAAGCGAUCAAAAGUCCUUUUUGAGUGUGGCUUUGUACUGUAUAAGUGUACUAGAUCAAACAAGUACCUGUUGUCUGGGGCCUUAAAACCUCAGUACCUUGCUUGUUUCGAACCUUAGUCCUUAUGCUUGCACUGUCAUCCAAAGCACUCUUAAUGUGGCUAGCUUUCUAAUCAACUGAGGCAAUGGUUAAAAGAAAUAGUCGCGGCGGCAUCAGUACUGCAUCGUGAGAG
rnacentral:rRNA from 1 species